ACACGACUCUCGGCAACGGAUAUCUCGGCUCUCGCAUCGAUGAAGAACGUAGCGAAAUGCGAUACCUGGUGUGAAUUGCAGAAUCCCGCGAACCAUCGAGUCUUUGAACGCAAGUUGCGCCCGAGGCCUCUUGGUUGAGGGCACGCCUGCCUGGGCGUCACGC
rnacentral:rRNA from 2 species